GGGGGUGAGGGUGAGAAGCCAGCACCACAGAUGGUGUUAACGGCAAAGCAGGAGGAGGUGGUAAACGCCGAGGCAGGGAAGAAGCGGAAGCAAUCCCCAGAGGAGGAUGAGGGGCAGAGCAGAGGGGUGAAGCCAUUAGGAACCAGGCACAUGGAGAAGUUGGAAGCAGAGAUACAGGUGCUGCCCGAGGAGGUGGUAAACGCCAAGGCAGGGAAGAAGCGGAAGCAAUCCCCAGAGGAGGAUGAGGGGCAGAGCAGAGGGGCGAAGCCAUUAGGAACCAGGCACAUGGAGAAGUCGGAAGCAGAGAUACAGGUGCUGCCAAAGGGCGAUAAUGUCGAUGGCAAAGAGAAGAAAAAGAAAGGGAAAAGAAUCCGGAGGAGUAAACUAAAGAAGGACCGGCUUAUCACCCGCGCUGCACAACGAAAUAUGUUUGGAUCGGCUUUGAAGGAUGAAUUUCCUGUGUUAAAAGAUGGCUCAAAACCAAAAGUACUGAUAACAGCAUGCCAGUAUAUUAUGGACAAGCAAGGACCUUCAUCUUCAUUUAUUCAUGAGCUAAUGCAACUCAUUCCAGAUGCAUGCUAUAUUCAUCGGACGAAUGUUUGCCUCGAUGAAGUGGUUGAGUAUGCGAAUGAAAGAAAAUUUACUUCACUUAUUGUUGCUCUUUCUGAUGGCUUAAAAAUUAUCAACUUGCCUGAUGGUCCCCUUGCACACCUUGAGCUCUCUGAGUUUACUCCACGAAAGGACAUAAAGAAUCAUGGGGAGCCAAUAAGUCGUGAGCCAGAGUUAGUGUUUAAUAAUUUUGAAGCACAUCUUGGCUAUCGUCUUCAAAGGUUGAUAUCGUCUCUUUUCCCUCAAGCUGAUUUCAAUAAACGGCAAGUGUUCACAUUUGAACUGAAGCAACAGCAUAUACUGUUCCGUAAUCACAGCAUUGAGAACAGCGAGGAUCAAAAUUCUGUUGUGCAAGUGUGCAUAGUAAAUGCUAAUCUGUGGUCGUACGAGAUGGCAUUGAGGGCUAGAAAUUAUAUUGACCCACUACACGAUGAAGCAAGAUUAGGGAAUACAAGAAAAUGGGAGUGGGUAUGGUUUUUACACUUUACCUCGAACAGUUGGUGGGUGAGUAAAUGGGAGGAUAGGCUCUCCUACUGACCUUGCCCAAAUGUGGAUCAAAGAGAGGGAUUAUGGGGCAACAUACAGGGGCCGGCAGUGUUGGCCUUCUCAUCAGAUUGAGGUGGGCGGAAACGUGGUUGGGCCUAGAGAUAUUGGGACAGGGGCAGAGGAUGAAACGACAUGCAAUGCAAGACAAAAGGAUGGUAGGGACAUAAGUCGAAUUAUGAGCAGUGCGAAACCGGGUCAAAGCGACUUAUUAUCACCAGCAACUGAAAAAUUUCAUUUUCUACAUACAUUUUAUGUAGUGGAUUACAUACAUCUACCUUAAUGAAGGAAAUCAUAUAUGUUUGUUCUCCAGUUAAUAAUGGGCGCAUUUCCUUAUUAUAUGGUACUUGUAUGAAAUGAAAGAAGAAUUGAGGGAUGGAAAUACUGGUACUUUUCCAGGAGUCAAAUU